AGAGUUUGAUCCUGGCUCAGAUUGAACGCUGGCGGAAUGCUUUACACAUGCAAGUCGAACGGGCUUGAGGGGCUUGCUCCUCAAGUUAGUGGCGAACGGGUGAGUAAUGCAUCGGAACGUGCCCAGUCGUGGGGGAUAACGCAGCGAAAGCUGUGCUAAUACCGCAUACGAUCUAUGGAUGAAAGCGGGGGACCGUAAGGCCUCGCGCGAUUGGAGCGGCCGAUGUCAGAUUAGCUAGUUGGUGGGGUAAAGGCCCACCAAGGCGACGAUCUGUAGCUGGUCUGAGAGGACGACCGGCCACACUGGGACUGAGACACGGCCCAGACUCCUACGGGAGGCAGCAGUGGGGAAUUUUGGACAAUGGGCGCAAGCCUGAUCCAGCAAUGCCGCGUGCAGGAAGAAGGCCUUCGGGUUGUAAACUGCUUUUGUACGGAACGAAACGGUCUGGGU
rnacentral:rRNA from 1 species